AUGGGCGGAGGAGGUCGCAGCCGUUGCCCACACCGCGGAUCUGCCGCGGGGAUGCGGGAGAAGGACGCGGUUGCGUGGCCCCCGGAUCCGGCGAAGCACGUGCGCAAGAGGCGGCCAACGGGGCGCGGGGCACAACUCCAGAUCCGUGCGGCCCGAGCAGAGCGUGAAGCUAGGAAGCGGCCAUAUGCUUUGGGUGGCCGCCUUCGGUGCAGCCGGCGGCAAUGGCAUGGUUGUAGUUUGGCGGCUAGGUUUGGGUGCCCCGGUGUCACCCCUGCAAGUGACACAGAAGUGAGCGACCAGGAACCAGAAGAUGCCGGCAGUCUGUUUGCUCAAACAGGGAAUCGAGGACAGCAAGGACCAUUGAAGCCCGAGGUGUUUGGAAUUGGACAGUUCAAUCUCUACUUUUCUCCUCCAAUGAUUCAGGUCCGAUGCUCUUAG
rnacentral:rRNA from 1 species